AGAUUGAACGCUGGCGGCAUGCUUUACACAUGCAAGUCGAACGGUAACAGGCCGCAAGGUGCUGACGAGUGGCGAACGGGUGAGUAAUGUAUCGGAACGUGCCCAGUCGUGGGGGAUAACGCAGCGAAAGCUGCGCUAAUACCGCAUACGAUCUAUGGAUGAAAGCGGGGGACCUAAGGCCUCGCGCGAUUGGAGCGGCCGAUAUCAGAUUAGGUAGUUGGUGGGUAAAGCUCACCAAGCCAACGAUCUGUAGCUGGUCUGAGAGGACGACCAGCCGACACGUGGGACUGAGACACGGCCCAGACUCCGUACGGGAGCAGCAGGUGGGAAUUUGGACAAGUGGGCGCAAGCCUGA
rnacentral:rRNA from 1 species